CACCCCCCAUACGUCGGCCCCUUUCUCAUUCUUCUUCACCAUUUCAAAUUCUAAACUUAAAUCCCUAAUUCCCCUUUCUCUCCAAACUCCAAAAUCGGGAAUAGAACUUAGGGAAAAACAAAUCCCUAUUUGGAAGUAGCAUAGCAGCUGCAAAUCCUCCGGCUUGGCGUGAAGAGCAGCGGCGGAUUUCUUUCUUUCGAGCUCCCUCCGUCGAGUUUCCUUUACUCCAGUGGCCGCCGUCUCCACUGCCACCGUCUCCGGCGAGGGACGAUCGGUGUCCAGAGAUCUCUCUCUCUCUGAUGCACCGCCUCUGUCGCGACGCCCCGUCGCCGCCGCCUCUGCACCCGACUCGGCGAGUAGCUGCCGCUGCUUGUUAGCGGUGGAGACGCUGGUCGUGCCGUUCGUCGUCGUCGCGCGUUACCGCGGUUCGGCAGAUUUCUCCCCAUCCCUUCCCCGCUGACUAGCUCCGUCGUUAAACGACCUUUCCCAAGCUAAGCUUCUCUUGCAUUUAAUGAUUUGGUUACUCUCUAGUGAAUCAAAGUUGUAAGCUUAAAAGAACAUCUUUGAUUAUUCGAGUCCGGUUGGGGCUUCUGCUAUAUCCUCCUUUCUCAGUUAUGGCCUAGCGUGUUCUCGUUCUAGGUUAGUCAGUGACAUUGCGAGACUACUAUCGUAUGGUGUUGCUAUCGAUUCCACUUGCUCUCCUAUAAUAGUUUCAUGCUUAUGCUUCUGAAACUAUGGAGUUUUUCUAACAUGCUUGUGAUGUCUACAUGAUGCUAUGAUUCUUGGUUGUGGGAAAGAGUUACCUGCUGAGAUUUACAGUUGGGGUGUAACACGGCCUUGAUCUCUGCCUCUUGGUUCCAGCCCUUGGUCUCAGCCUCUCUUACUCGUUAGCUCACCAGAAUUUCAACAAUUGGUUGUGGAGGAGGCAAGGGCUGGGGGUUAUCCUCUUUUAUAGACUAUCGUGUAACUGAAUGCUGCACAAUGUCUGAUGUAUUUGGCUGGAAAGGAAUUAACAGGCUGUGCAGCUUGCUGCUCUCUCUCUCUCUCUGCAGCUUUGCAGAGCAUGUACUCUAAGUCCUUGUUCCUCUCUAACUGAUCUUGGGGCUGGUGUACUCGUGGUUUUAGUGGGGUUGCUGAGUCCACGCUAUUCUCCACACCCUUUAACUGUUUUUGGCUUAUUGUGUGGUCUAAUACUGAACUUAUUUAUGAAUUUUCGUCCCUUGUUGCAGGUGCACUUAGGAGAUGGCAUUUGUGGCUGAUUUCCUUUACCAUGGCAGGUCUAAAUGCAGGUGGUACAAGCUGUCAACUGCAGCCUUGCAGUGUGCAGUUGGUGGAGGGGAAUUUGCUGGCUGACAUUGCCCUUCUCGGCCCAGCUCGGUCUCACCUUUCCGAAAGGUGUUGGCAGCCUCGCGCGGCUAGCCGCGGAGAGAGUGCUCCUUUGACGUCUCUCCCAUUCGAGCAUUUUCUGAAAUCUGGGUCGCGGCGGCCUGAUGGUGAAGAACGCCAUAGUUGCUAGGGCUCAACCAUGUAAUAGUAUAGUUCGACUUACUUCCCAACAUGUAUGAAAAGUUCGAUGUUAGUUGGUGUAUAUUUCUUUCUAGCAUUUGUAAUUCAUUGACUUGAAUUUCUUUAUACUGUAUUUAUACUUCUAUUCAAGAAAUAAAAUAUUCUCUCAUUCUUUAUUCAAAA